CGGCCUCGGCCCGCGCCGCCACGGCCGCCCCGGCUCUCACAUCCGCUAUGCCGCGCCUCCGACGGCCCGACGCCGCACGCCCGCGUCGCCUCUGCCUGCACCGACGCCCGCCCGCGUGGCCUCUGCCCGCACAGACGCCCGCGCCAAGCCUACACCGAUGCCCGUCGCCCCGAGGCCGCGCGCUGUGGUAGGCCCUGCACGCCUCGGACGGCUCCGGUGGCGGCCUCGGCAGUCGUGGCGCCGGCUCCUCGGACAGCACCACCCCCUUGACCUCCUCCUCCUCCGCAUCCAUCUCAGCCACCACCCCAACGCCGUGACCGCCGCCCACCACGGACUGCGGCCGCGGCCAGACGCCGCGGGCCCGCGCUAGGACGACGGCCACCACCCCAACGUCGUGCCCACGGCCCGUCGCGUAGCCUUGCCGCGCCGAGGACCUAGGGAACAAUUUCCCCCCGAUGCCAAAGGGAGCUGAGGGGUUUCUGCAGGACGGCCAGCAGAUCACCGUGAAGAAGCUGUAGCUCGGGUCAGGGCAAGGUGUGCACGAGGUCCGGCUCGUGCUCAAGGUGCACUUUGUUAUGCAUUGCUCCUGUUAAACUGUUCGAGGAGAAGAAAACAAAGAAGAGUCGAGAAAGAGAGGAGACGCAGUAGGUACAACUAUACAAUGGUUGUAUUGUUGUGUCCUUUAUCGGACAAUGUAUGAGAUGGUUUACCUCUGACUAUUGGUCUUGCUGCAGCUACCGGUUUGGGAGUACUUGCAUACAGAGAUUGAGAUAUUGCUACAGUUUUUGGGUUCAGCCGCUAUUGUUCAGCCUAACAUUGCUACAUAUUGAUGAGUUCUUUAAUAAGAAGGUUGCUCCGAAGGAUCUUUUUGGUGAAAUAAAGCAAUUGAACUGUUCCUGGUGAAAUUCUAGCAAAAUACUAGCAUGUGCGACUCCAGCUGCUUCCGCAGCAACAGCUGCACCAGCAGAGGCUGCUACCGUCGUUCCAACAGAAGCAGCUUGAAGCCUUAUAUAGCUUGAAAGUUUCAUUUUAAACUUGAGUAUGACUUAUGGCAUGGACUAUGUUUGAUGCAUGGACUUUGUGGGUUGUAAUCGAUGUAUGAACAUGUGACACUUGUUAUAACAUUUGAUGUAUUUACUAUGUGA